CAGUAGCCGCGGGAAUACAGAGGGUGCGAGCGUUAAUCGGAUUUACUGGGCGUAAAGCGUGCGUAGGCGGCUAAUUGAGUCGGAUGUGAAAUCCCCGAGCUUAACUUGGGAAUUGCAUUCGAUACUGGUUAGCUAGAGUGUGGGAGAGGAUGGUAGAAUUCCAGGUGUAGCGGUGAAAUGCGUAGAGAUCUGGAGGAAUACCGAUGGCGAAGGCAGCCAUCUGGCCUAACACUGACGCUGAGGUACGAAAGCAUGGGGAGCAAACAGGAUUAGAUACCCGCGUAGUCCCUGUCUCUUAUAA
rnacentral:rRNA from 1 species